rnacentral:rRNA from 1 species
CGCUAGCUACAGGCUUAACACAUGCAAGUCGAGGGGCAGCAUGGUCUUAGCUUGCUAAGGCCGAUGGCGACCGGCGCACGGGUGAGUAACACGUAUCCAACCUGCCGUCUACUCUUGGACAGCCUUCUGAAAGGAAGAUUAAUACAAGAUGGCAUCAUGAGUCCGCAUGUUCACAUGAUUAAAGGUAUUCCGGUAGACGAUGGGGAUGCGUUCCAUUAGAUAGUAGGCGGGGUAACGGCCCACCUAGUCUUCGAUGGAUAGGGGUUCUGAGAGGAAGGUCCCCCACAUUGGAACUGAGACACGGUCCAAACUCCUACGGGAGGCAGCAGUGAGGAAUAUUGGUCAAUGGGCGAGAGCCUGAACCAGCCAAGUAGCGUGAAGGAUGACUGCCCUAUGGGUUGUAAACUUCUUUUAUAAAGGAAUAAAGUCGGGUAUGUAUACCCGUUUGCAUGUACUUUAUGAAUAAGGAUCGGCUAACUCCGUGCCAGCAGCCGCGGUAAUACGGAGGAUCCGAGCGUUAUCCGGAUUUAUUGGGUUUAAAGGGAGCGUAGAUGGAUGUUUAAGUCAGUUGUGAAAGUUUGCGGCUCAACCGUAAAAUUGCAGUUGAUACUGGAUAUCUUGAGUGCAGUUGAGGCAGGCGGAAUUCGUGGUGUAGCGGUGAAAUGCUUAGAUAUCACGAAGAACUCCGAUUGCGAAGGCAGCCUGCUAAGCUGCAACUGACAUUGAGGCUCGAAAGUGUGGGUAUCAAACAGG